AUGUUGAAGAGAGUAUAUCUCACAAAACUGAGACACAUGUCUGUAUUCAGACUGCAGUUCUUAUGGGUAUGGGUAUGGGCCCUCCCAUUUCUCCUUCCCUCUUCUGGAAAGCUGUUAGGUGGAGGUGGAGGGCUUUCUGAGUGUGGAAUUCCCAAACCUCCUCCUGGGAGUUAUAGCACAGUGUUAUUGGAUAUAAUGGUUCCUUUAUUUCAGGGUGAGGAGAUUCUCCCAAGUUGUUCCCAGGAAGACGGUUGGAAUCCACUUAACAAGGUUGUUGAACAUCAACGCUCUUUCAGCAGUCCGUUGUGGAUAUUCCUGUGGGGGUGGCUUGCUUGAUUUGAUGAGUAGGAAUCCACACCCCUUCCUUCACAUGCACCUGUCGUAUUGAAUACCUCCAUUCCCGUCAUUUGUUGGGACAAAGCCAUGGAGAGUUGUGUGGGCAACACCUCAAAGAGGUAAGCACUGAUCACAUACCUGUGUCUAAAUCUGAGUCUUGUAAAAUUGGACGGUAAGGGAAGGUGGGAAAUUCAUUCUGCCUGUGUUACCAGGAGGAAGAGGGAAAUGAACUCGUUGAAUAGACAGCCAGUUUUUUCUAAGGCAGACAAACACUUUUUUAAAGCUCACCAUAUCUAGUUGGUGUUUUCUUAGCUUUUCAGUGGGGUUUCCUUAAUGAAUCUUGCUUCCAGCUGCCCUUCACCAGAAGAAAUCAUUGUGCCUUAUGAAGGAGGUCUCAGGAAAACCAUCUGUGAGGAAAAGGCAGGAGUGGGGGUUUGUUGCCGAGAUAACUAUUGACUUGUGUGAAACUGAGGAGACAUUCAAUGAAGCCAUAGCUAACUCUGGUGAAUGGCAUGGCUUGAUGAAGUAGUGUAAAAGGGAGGAAAACGUGUAUAAGGAACCAAAAAUAUGUGAUUGUGAUGAAAUAACCCAUAGAAGAGAGAUUGCGUACCUCCAGGAAGAUGUGUUGAGGCUGUGGGCCUGCUGUAUUUUGCUGGCAGGCAGUCUGUUCUCAGCAAAUGACCACGUUACCAGUUUAAGCUUAGAUGAAGAAACUCACCAUGUUAGCAAUCAUCUCCUUCCUACUACUUUGCAUAGGUGGCUUUUAGAAGUGGCUAACGAGGUCUCAAUUUUCCACAAUUUUAUUCCACUCUGCAACUAACUUACAAAACUACAAAAUGGGAAAACUGAUCUAGCUCAUUUCACCUAGACAAAAAGAAAACAUUAACCUCAUGCGGCAUUUAUUGUAACACCUGGAAAGGCAUGUCAGAUUUUACUAUCUCUUAUGACAUCAAAAUAGUGGCAAAGAAAAGAAAACGUAGAUGCACAGAAGCUUAUCUCC
rnacentral:lncRNA from 1 species